UGAUCAGAGGCCUAAAAGCAAAUCAGCGACAAAACCAAGUCAUUCAGACAGCAAAACAGUUCCAAUUUCCCGUAGAGUAAUUUUUUUUCGUUCGAAUAAGACUCACAAAAUUUGUGUGCCCAUCAAAAUGGCAAAGACAAAGUCUUCAAAGAAAGCAUAUGAAAUUGAUUUCCGCAAAGUUCGCGACACCAUGAAGCGUCUCAACAUGAAGAGGUCUGACUUCGGGGCCAUCGAAAAAAUCGCCGCCGAAUUGGAGUAUACGUUGAGCAGCAGAAAACGUGUCAGCCACCUCAAAGCCAAAAUGAACGCCUCAAUCAAAUAUUGGGACAAUUAGCAUCAGUCGCUCGUUCGACUGUUGCUUAACCAUUGACGACCACCUUUUGACACAACGGACUCGCCCAACCGCCAAACCGAGCUCAUGCAAACCCCUAAUGGCCACCGAACAUGAAAAAUUGAACAACAAGACGUGAACAAAAAGACACGAACAUUCACCUUCUCCCUCUGUCGAAAAUGAUGAAGAAGAAGCAACGAAUGCCGCAGCAGCAAACUCACAGAUGAGCAAUAAUUUUUAUGCGCAGCAUAAAAAACCCUUUGUUUUCGUCGUAAAGCAUUUCCUAAUGCAAUCAGAUUAAUCAAUCGAUUUUGGUUUAACGUCAAGUAAAUGAAUCGCAUUCGUGAGCGAAAUAUUUUUUUGUUUGAUACAAAACACAAUUGACGUAAAAAGACAUACAAAAAACGAAUCACAAUUAGAUUUAAGGAUCGUUGAUCGUGAAGUAAGAACAAACUGAAUUUAUAUAAAUUGAAUAAAAUAUUGAAGUGACAAAAAAUUGUAAGAAUAACGAACAAAAGUUGGUGUUUUUAGUUGAAAAAAACAAUCGUAGUGUUGGAAUUUCCAGCGGGGAGAAAUUAGCGUCACCUUUUGGAUGAUAAAGGUAAGUGGAAAUGUGACUGAAGCUUUCCUUUCUUUCUUUGAUUGAGCCAAACUCAAGAGAGUCUCAAUUCUGCUUUGAAUCAAUUCCAAUAUUUUUUUCUUCUUUUUCUCUCAUUAUGCAUCGUCUCUCGAUCUUCCGACUCUUGUUUUUUCUAAAUUCACUGAAUAACUUCGAUUAGUAUUCCAUAUCGCAAGCCCUAAACCUCAAUUUACAUUAUUAAAUUGUCAAAUUGGCAGGCAGAGCUAAAAACAUCUAUUGUCUUCAAAUCAAUGGAUCAUGUAUGAGCUAAUUGCUGUGGCUAUUGUAUUGAGAUAUCAUCCAAGUGUUCAGCAUCCAUUGCACGGACAAAACAUGCUGAGAAUAGCAUGAAUAGAUUAGCACAUUCAUUUCGAUUUCCAAAGUACCUCAAUAAAAGUUCAAUUUCUGAUGAAAAUUUCAUUCAUAUAACUUACUUAUACUACAUAAGUGCAAUUACUGGGUUCGAGUAUGAGCCGAAAAGAGUGUAAAGAUUUAAACAAAGCAUUUUAGCAAGUGUAAGUGUCAUUGUUCAGUUGCCUAUAAACUGUUCAUUGGAUAUGAACAACAAUCGUUUGUCGGCCUGAUGUAAUUUGCUCUAAGUCAUUUGUUCUCAGCGGUUGGAAAAAAGUUAUACUUGAACUCGGUCGGUGUUCACUUUGCAUUGGGAGCAAAUGAUGGCUAUGAAUGAGUACAGGCGCAUAAAACUAACUUGAAAAAUCAAUAUUUUUCUUCUUAAUGUGAAAAAACUCAUCGUUUCUUUGGAACUUUUAUAAACCAUUCAAUAAAAUUCCAUUGCGAAAGAGUCGUUUGUUCUGGAAAACUCAACGAAUCGAUCUGAAAUACCGACAUUCUGAAUGAUCCAGUUGGAAAAAGUCGUUGAAAAAAAUCCAUUUAAUGGGAAAAAUAAAUUUAUUCCAUUAAUAAAUGAUUAAGAAAAUUUUCUGAUUGAAAUCUAAUUUUUUUUUCCGGCGAAAAGUCCAAUGCAAAUUCAAAUAUUCAACUAGAAUCUAUCGUUGCUAUAAAUCAAAUGUCAAAAUGUCUAUGUGCAAAAAAGGUCUGGUUCAGUUUGAUGGCGCUGCUUGUCGUCCAUGUCAAUUCACGCGAACAUCAUACCGAGUUAACGAAGCAAGUGCGGUUGAGCUUGUGUUCAUUUCUGUUCCAGCAUUCCUUGCAACCAUACGCUUAAAAGCAAAUUAGCUCCAAAGCCAAGCAUCAGUAAAGUCAUUCAGACAGCAAAAACAAAGUCCGAAUUUCUCUCGUAGAGUAAUUUUUGUUUGUUCCAAAUAAGAUUCGAAAGUUUGUGUGCCCAUCAAAAUGGCAAAGACAAAAUCGGCAAAGACAAAGCCGGUAAAGAAAUCAUACGAAUUGGAUUUCCAAAAAGUUCGCGAAACCAUGAAGCGUCUGAACGUGAAAUCCGCGAAGAGGGAUGCUGUCGAAAAAAUCGCAGCCGAGAUGGGAUUCGAAUUGAGCGACAACGAACGUAUCAAGCAUAUGCAAGGCAAAAUGACCGCAUCCAUUCUACAUUGGAACCGCUCGUAGUGUCAGUCGCUCGUUCGACUGUUGCUUAACUAUUGACGACCACCUUUUGACACAACGGACUCGCCCAAGCGCCAAACCGAGCUCAUGCAAACCCCAAAUGGCCACCGAACAAGAAAAAUUGAACAACAAGACAUGAACAAAAAGACACGAACAUUCACCUUCUCCCUCUGUCGAAAAUGAUGAAGAAGAAGCAACGAAUGCCGCAGCAGCAAACUCACAGAUGAGCAAUAAUUUUUAUGCGCAGCAUAAAAAACCCUUUGUUUUCGUCGUAAAGCAUUUCCUAAUGCAAUCAGAUUAAUCAAUCGAUUUUGGUUUAACGUCAAGUAAAUGAAUCGCAUUCGUGAGCGAAAUAUUUUUUUGUUUGAUACAAAAUACAAUUGACGUAAAAAGACAUACAAAAAAACGAAUCACAAUUAGAUUUAAGGAUCGUUGAUCGUGAAGAAAGAACAAACUGAAUUUAUAUAAAUUGAAUAAAAUAUUGAAGUGACAAAAAUCUGUAAGAAAAACAAACAAAAGUCGGUGUUUCUAGUUGAAAAAAACAAUCGUAGUGAAGGCAUUUUCAGCCAGGAGUAAUUAGCGGCACACUUUGGAUCGUGAAGGUUUGUGGAAAUGUGACUGAAGCUUCCUUUUCUUUCUUUCUUUCUUUCUUUGAGCCAAACAACUGAAUAUACUUUGCGCCAAUUCGAAUAUUCUUUUCUCUUUCUUCUCUCAUUGCGCAUCAUCUCUCAGUCUGGCUCUUACUUCUUCUACAUUCACCGAAUAACUUCAUUCAUUAUUGAUUACUCAGUAAUUAUUGCUGGCAAAACAUGCUUAGAAUAUCGACUUUGACUUGUCGAGUUUUCACUCAUUGAGCGACGCUCAAUACUAUAGUUAGCUCAAUUGUUACCUGAACGUUGACUAGAGUCAACAUUGAUUGUGAAUAUGGGCUAUACUUGUUUCUUGAACAAAUCGCACGUUCUAGGGAAAUACCGAAUCGAUUCAUACGUUUAUGGGUAGACAAAUGUAGACCGUUCAAACGUCAUUCAGAAAAUGCCGAAUUUACUUCAGGCAAAAUUCCCACUUUACUCGAUGCAAUGAGCGACGGUAUUUCGAAUUGGGAAAAUUACGAAUUGCUUUUUGGUUUUGUUCAAUCAAACAAGAGACAUGGCUUUAGCUCAUGUUUCACUUGCAUGGGGCUGGGGUGUAUGAGUCAAUUCAUGUGACGUUUUAUUUGCUUUAUCUUACGAUACAAAGGAUAUCAGCAUCGCGUCAAAGAAAUCAUUUUUUACGCUGAUUUUUUUCCCAGUUUUUCUUAGCUAAAAUCAGAAGAUCGAUUUUGCAAUUGGCUUGCAUUUCAGUGGACUAAAGUUUUUUCUGCAUUUCUUCCUUUGGAAUGGGUUUCCUCAACAUGGUUCACAAUUGUCAUUGUCAAUGACUCAUUGCAUUACAUCCAAUCAGCUUUAUCUUUGCUCAGCUAAGUUAAGUGUGCGUGUGUUUUGGCAUGUGUGUGUUUUUGCGAAUGAGAAUUCAGUGCACUGAACAAAUGUUUGUCAACAUCUUUUUGGACCAGUUAACGUCACGCCUUGCAUAAUGUUAUAAAUUACAGCAUGAGUGCAUCGAAUGAGUCAUUCUGUUUCGAGCAUUCAAGUGGCUUGGUCGCAUUAAGUAAUUGAUCACUUCCAAUCAGUCACUUCAAAUCAUUUCAAUUGCAUCGAUUUGCGUCAGAAAUCACAAAUUCAGUGUGUUCUUUUUCCAUUUUCCAUUAAACGCUAAUUAUUCAUUGCUUAAACUUGCGAAUCCGGUUCAAUCAGUCGUGAAACAAAAUGACGACAUUUGUUUGUGGUCAAUGUGAAUUGCAAUUUUCGAGCUUUGGAGGAUGCCGUACACACAUUGUCGGCGACCACAACAGUGAUGUUUCGAGCGUCACAGUCAAGGUCUUCCUUCACCAACCGAAGAAUUAUCAGCCAAAACGCCCGGCCAGCAAUGUGCGCAAAAUCGUGACUCGCCUUCAAGCCAAAGGUCGCAAAGCCAAGACCAUUGCAUUGGAGAAGAUAAAGAUGGCAUCCGAUCGUUAGUACCGAUUCUGGAGCCCAUUUUAGCAUCCCAGUGAAGUAUAAACGAUGAUCGCUAUCGACUCAACGGACAUGAAUAAUCUCAACUGAAACUGAAACACAGAGGUACCGUACAGUCACCGACUGAAACAUAAACAUUAAACAACCACAGGAGCAAAACAUAACGAAAACAAAGGAUAUCAUGAAUACGAUUGCAUAGCAUUAAACAAUACUGCUUUGAGUGAAACCACACAGAGUCAGCUCUGUUCGUGCUAAUUUUUUUGAGACCAAUAAUGAAUUCUGAUUUUGGACAAAGCAAUCGAUUCGUCGCAUUUUCAAAAAGAAACAAAAAAAAUCUCAUUUUUAAGCACAUUGCGUGAAAGAUCAUUUGUCUAAAAUCCAACCGAUUCGAAAUUUGUCUCAACUCUUUUAAUUGUGUCAUGAGCUCAUAUUUCCAAACUGAUUGCAAUCGAUUUAAAUUAAACAUGUCAUUAGUUCUAUGGUCUUCGACUGUAAUGAGACGCUAUCGUUGCAUUUCAAAUAAAAUUCAUUUACUUGACUUGAGUAAAA